GGUGGGGGAGGCUCAGUGGUAGAGCAUUUGCUCUGCAAGCAGGAGGUCCCCGGUUCAAUUUCUGGGGACUGUCCCCUGCCU